rnacentral:rRNA from 1 species
UACAGAGGUCCCAAACGUUGUUCGGAUUCACUGGGCGUAAAGGGUGCGUAGGUGGCGAGGUAAGUUCGAUGUGAAAUCCCCGGGCUCAACCCGGGAACUGCAUUGAAAACUCUCUCGCUCGAGGGUCGGAGGGGAGACUGGAAUUCUCGGUGUAGCAGUGAAAUGCGUGGAUAUCGAGAGGAACACCAGUGGCGAAGGCGAGUCUCUGGACGACACCUGACACUGAGGCAAGAAAGCUAGGGGAGCAAACAGG